UCCGUAGGUGAACCUGCGGAGGGAUCAUUACCGAGUUUACAACUCCCAAACCCCUGUGAACAUACCAAUUGUUACUUCCCCCGGUCGGUCAACACUUGAAAAAACGGGACGGCCCGCCAGAGGACCCCUAAACUCUGUUUCUACCUUAGUAACUUCUGAGUAAAACCAUAAAUAAAUCAAAACUUUCAACAACGGAUCUCUUGGUUCUGGCAUCGAUGAACCAACGCAGCAAAAUGCGAUAAGUAAUGUGAAUUGCAGAAUUCAGUGAAUCAUCGAAUCUUUGAACGCACAUUGCGCCCGCCAGUAUUCUGGCGGGCAUGCCUGUUCGAGCGUCAUUUCAACCCUCAAGCCCAGCUUGGUGUUGGGACUCGCGAGUCAAAUCGCGUUCCCCAAAUUGAUUGGCGGUCACGUCGAGCUUCCAUAGCGUAGUAGUAAAACCCUCGUUACUGGUAAUCGUCGCGGCCACGCCGUUAAACCCCAACUUCUGAAUGUUGACCUCGGAUCAGGUAGGAAUACCCGCUGAACUUAAGCAUAUCAAUAAGCGGAGGAA
rnacentral:rRNA from 1 species